rnacentral:tRNA from 1 species
GAGGGUAUAGCUCCAGUGGUAGAGCAUGUGCUUAGCAUACACAAGGUCCUGGGUUCAAUCCCUAGUAUCUCCU